CACGUAGGGGGCAAGCGUUGUCCGGAUUUAUUGGGCGUAAAGAGCUCGUAGGCGGCUCAGUAAGUCAGGUGUGAAACCUCCAGGCUCAACCUGGAGACGCCACCUGAUACUGCUGUGGCUAGAGUCCGGUAGGGGAGCGUGGAAUUCCUGGUGUAGCGGUGAAAUGCGUAGAUAUUGGGAGGAACACCAGUGGCGAAGGCGGCUCACUGGACCGGAACUGACGCUGAGGCGGCGAAAAGCGGUGGGGAGCAAACGGG
rnacentral:rRNA from 1 species